rnacentral:rRNA from 1 species
UAGGGAAUCUUCGGCAAUGGGGGCAACCCUGACCGAGCAACGCCGCGUGAGUGAAGAAGGUUUUCGGAUCGUAAAGCUCUGUUGUAAGUCAAGAACGAGUGUGAGAGUGGAAAGUUCACACUGUGACGGUAGCUUACCAGAAAGGGACGGCUAACUACGUGCCAGCAGCCGCGGUAAUACGUAGGUCCCGAGCGUUGUCCGGAUUUAUUGGGCGUAAAGCGAGCGCAGGCGGUUUGAUAAGUCUGAAGUUAAAGGCUGUGGCUCAACCAUAGUUCGCUUUGGAAACUGUCAAACUUGAGUGCAGAAGGGAAGAGUGGAAUUCCAUGUGUAGCGGUGAAAUGCGUAGAUAUAUGGAGGAACACCGGUGGCGAAAGCGGCUCUCUGGUCUGUAACUGACGCUGAGGCUCGAAAGCGUGGGGAGCGAACAGGAUUAGAUACCCUGGUAGUCCACGCCGUAAACGAUGAGUGCUAGGUGUUGGAUCCUUUCCGGGAUUCAGUGCCGCAGCUAACGCAUUAAGCACUCCGCCUGGGGAGUACGACCGCAAGGUUG